UGCAAGGCUUCUUCUAGAGACUCUUCAGAUGGGGACACCAGAGCACAGGGCCUCCUAUUUCUCCCAAAUCAUUUCCAGGAUGAUUCCUCUAAAAGCACAAAUCUUCCCCUCUCCAGGAAAAUCCAGCGUAUGGAUGGGCGGGUGUCCUGCAGCCUGGGUGAGUCAGUCUUGAAAAAAAUAGCAGAGACGGGGCUUAAAGAACACACACACAUUUCCCCACAGCUCUGGGGCUGCCAGCGGCUCGGGCUUCUUCUCACCUUCUCUCCUUGGCCUGCCACCAGCCACCUUCUCUCUGCUAUUUCCCUGCAGGUGAAUCCAUCCUAAUCUCCCUUCUUGUGAAGACACUGGCCAUCUUGGAUUAGGGCCCACCCUCAGGUGCUGCCUGAAGUAGUGGGUUCUUUAAAGGUCCUGCCACCAACUGCACUGUCACAUGCUGAGGAACCAGGGUUAGGCCUUCGACAUAUGAAUUGUGGGGGGGACAUCAUUCAGCCCAUAACACUGGAUUUGGGGACUCACAGAGGACUGUUGGCUUCAAGAUGUGCAGGAAAAUGGCUGUGUCUGAGUUUCCAUUUGGAAAUUGAAGGGGUGUCUCAAAAGGCAACGUGUUUGUGACUGAAGUCUUGACAGCUUUGCUGCCCCAGGGCCUCCUGUUCCUGGUCAGGGCCGGCCAUUCCCAGCAGCCCCCCAGCCCGGGUGUCAUUCUCCCUGACUCUUCCUGAACCCCAUCUCCAUCCCCACGAGUUCCCAGCUCCUCCCUGGCCUGGGACACCCCUGCUCUGGCUGUACCACGGCCUCAGCCUCCUCGCUGGUGUCCCUGCAGCCACCCUGGUGGCUCCUGUCCAUUCUCCAAACUGCAACCAGAAAAACACCCAGACGUAAGUGUCCCCCACUCCAGUGGCUUUCCAACCAGCACCCAGAGGAAAAUCCAGCCCGUGUUCCCAGGCCUUGCAGGCUAACAAGGACCGAGCAAGAAACGGCCACCUUAAAAUGCCAUUUAGCCAAAUCCGACUUAUUUUGCAGGAAAAUAUAAAGGUUUAACCCCCUGGAAUGGACGGGAAGGGGCAGGGGAGACAAGUUACCUUAAAGAAGAGUUCCAGGGAGGACUUGGCAGAGCUAGUCCUCGUUAGUAUAGUGGUAAGUAUCCCCGCCUGUCACGCGGGAGACCGGGGUUCGAUUCCCCGACGGGGAGGCUGCAACAUUUUGAUGGUGGAACGACGUCUUUUUCAUCCUGACCUUGGCUAUGCUGGACUUCCGGGGCUGACAUUUCUUGUCUUGCUCCAGCCCCAGCAUCUGACUUCGGAAGAUGCUUAUGAACAUUUUCUCCCCCUAAAACAGUCAGACUCUGUGACCUUAAAACAUCACUGGUGUGCAGCUGCUGCACCCCACAGGCAAUAAACAAACUCUUUACAAGA